rnacentral:tRNA from 1 species
AAAGAUUUAAGUUAAAAUUUAAACUAAUAACCUUCAAAGUUAAUAAUAUAAAUUAAUUUUAAUCUUUA